GCCGGGCGUGGGUGGUGCACGCCUGUAGUCCCAGCUACUCGGGAGGCUGAGGUGGGAGAAUCUCUUGAACCCGGGAGGCGGAGAUUGCAGUGAGCUGAGCUCAGGCCACUGCACUCCAGCCUGGGCAACAGAGCGAGACUCCAUCUCAA
rnacentral:SRP_RNA from 1 species